UGAGGAAUCUUCCACAAUGGACGAAAGUCUGAUGGAGCAACGCCGCGUGCAGGAUGACGGUCUUCGGAUUGUAAACUGCUUUUAAUCGGGAAGAUUAUGACGGUACCGAUUGAAUAAGGACCGGCUAACUACGUGCCAGCAGCCGCGGUAAUACGUAGGGUCCAAGCGUUAUCCGGAAUCACUGGGCGUAAAGCGUGCGUAGGCGGCGCUUUUAGUGCAAUGCGAAAUCUUGUGGCUCAACCAUAUAGACUGUAUUGCAUACUGGAGUGCUGGAGGAUGGCAGAGGCUAGUGGAAUUACCGGUGUAGCAGUGAAAUGCGUAGAUAUCGGUAGGAACACCAAUGGCGAAGGCAGCUAGCUGGGCCAUUUCUGACGCUAAGGCACGAAAGCGUGGGGAGCGAACAGGAUUAGAUACCCCCGUAGUCC
rnacentral:rRNA from 1 species